ACUGUAUUUCCUUCAGAACCACAACAGGAUGAUGUGCAGAACAACCUGACCUAUGUCACUGUUGACCAUUUAAGACAUAGAAAUGAUGAGGAGAUAAAGGUCAAACAGGAUGAAGACACUGUGACUUAUUCUGCUGUCAGGACUAAAAAGAAGAGAGAGGCGG